rnacentral:rRNA from 1 species
CCUACGGGAGGCAGCAGUGAGGAAUAUUGGUCAAUGGACGAGAGUCUGAACCAGCCAAGUAGCGUGAAGGAUGACUGCCCUAUGGGUUGUAAACUUCUUUUAUAAAGGAAUAAAACGAGGCACGUGUGCCUUUUUGUAUGUACUUUAUGAAUAAGGAUCGGCUAACUCCGCGCCAGCAGCCGCGGUAAUAUGGAGGAUCCGAGCGUUAUCCGGAUUUAUUGGGUUUAAAGGGAGCGUAGAUGGGUUGUUAAGUCAGUUGUGAAAGUUUGCGGCUCAACCGUGGAAUUGCAAUUGAUACUGGCAGUCUUGAGUACAGUUAAGGUAAGCGGAAUUCGUGGUGUAGCGGUGAAAUGCUUAGAUAUCACGAAGAACCCCGAUUGCGAAGGCAGCUUACUAAACUGUGACUGACAUUGAUGCUCGAAAGUGUGGGUAUCAAACAGGAUUAGAUACCCUAGUAGUC